ensembl:lncRNA
GUCGUCCCCUUCUCCUCCUGCCCCCAAUCCCUUCCAGCAUCAGAAGUCUUCUCCAACACCACACUUCAAAAGCAUCAAUUCUUUGGUGCUCAGCCUUCUUCACAGUCCAACUCUCACAUCCAUACAUGACCACUGGAAAAACCAUAGCCUUGACUAGACGACCUUUGUUGGCAAAGUAAUGUCUCUGCUUUUGAAUAUGCUGUCUAGGUUGGACAUAACUUUCCUUCCAAGGAGUAAGCGUCUUUUAAUUUCAUGGCUGCAGUCACCAUCUGCAGUCAUUUUGGAGCCCCCAAAAAUAAAGUCAACCACUGUUUCCCCAUCUAUUUCCCAUGAAGUCAGGGGACCAGAUGCCAUGAUCUUCGUUUUCUGAAUGUUGAGCUUUAAGCCAACUUUUUCACUCUCCACUUUCACUUUCAUCAAGAGGCUUUUGAGUUCCUCUUCACUUUCUGCCAAAAGGGUGGUGUCAUCUGCAUAUCUGAGGUUAUUGCCAUUUCUCCUGGCAAUCUUGAUUCCAGCUUGUGUUUCUUCCAGUCCAGUGUUUCUCAUGAUGUACUCUGCAUAUAAGUUAAAUAAGCAGGGUGACAAUAGCAAAAGCAUAUUUUCUCCUUUUACACGGAGAGACAAAAACACCACUUUACAUCUAUUUCCUUUAGACUAUACUUCAAGAUCUGAUGUGAAAAGACCAUCAUUUGGUGUUUUUCGUGUUUCAAUGAGAGAUAGCAGUAGCCAGACACCUUGCAGUGAACAGUCCAUAGCAAGGAAGAAUAGUAAUGGAGCUACAGGUGCAGCCCAUGAUGCUGAUAAGCCACAAGGUGAGACUCAGGCUUGCACUUCGGGGUCUUCAAUAAACAGAAGUCAAGAUACAGUUAGGAAAAGAGGGGGAAGUAGCUAUCUCUCCAUCUCUCUCUUAAGGAGCCUGCUUUUCUUUUCCACAAGGACAGUCUUCCUAUCAAUUCAAACUAUUUAACAUUUGUAUUCAGACUAUGUAACUGGUAAUUCCUGACUUUGAUUCUACUUCCCAGAAUAUAAUAUACAGGCA